GACGAACCUUGCUAACGUUAUUCGGAAUUACUGGGCUUAAAGGGCGCGUAGGCGGCCGCCUAAGUCAGACGUGAAAUCCCUCGGCUCAACCGGGGAACUGCGUCUGAUACUGGGUGGCUUGAAUCCGGGAGAGGGAUGCGGAAUUCCAGGUGUAGCGGUGAAAUGCGUAGAUAUCUGGAGGAACACCGGUGGCGAAGGCGGCAUCCUGGACCGGUAUUGACGCUGAGGCGCGAAAGCCAGGGGAGCAAACGGG
rnacentral:rRNA from 1 species